UUUGUUAACCCCUCUCCUCUUCGUUGAUAGAAAACAGAACAUACAAACUUAGGUCUGGGAGAUGUCGGAUUCGUUGUCGCCGGCUGCAUAAUCUUCUACCUCCGAUUAGAAUCAACUUAGCUGGUGAGAGAUUUGAUUUCUCUGUAGAAUAUUGGUAACCUUUCUUCGACUAGGUGACAUCUUGUUAUCUCCGGCGUUGAACACUCCACGACGAGAACCACCGUCGCUUCGUCUAUCAUCCAUGUCUUCUUCUCAACCGAAAAUUGAAUUAUGCUUUUAUGGCUUGUUCUAAGUCAACUUCACAUGGUGUGUGAAGCUUGUCCAUCAACUAUAAACGCAUCAUCUUCUAUCGUGGAGUCUAUACCAUAAAGUACAUAUCGAUUGGUUGUACUUUCGAAAGGCUAAGUUACGAGAUGAUUCAAGACCUUCGAAGAAAACUUGCUUCUGAGAUUUACGUCGUCGUUGGAGAGCCUCAGAGAUUCACCAAAGUCGUAUUGUAACCUUUGGUCUUAUUAGUAUAACAUUUAGUCUUAUUUGUUUUAGUUCCUGCACUUAUUUAUCUUGUAAGCAUUCAGUCUGAUUAGUUUUAGUUCAUGUACUUAUUUAUCUAGUAAUUGCAACGUGUAGUUUUAACAGUGUAUCAAACUGUGUUUCAGCUUCA